rnacentral:rRNA from 1 species
GAUGAACGCUGGCGGCGUGCUUAACACAUGCAAGUCGAACGAGAAGUGAAGACGGAAACCUUCGGGCGGAUGGCUUUAUUUCGAGUGGCGGACGGGUGAGUAACGCGUGGGUAACCUGCCUCAUACAGGGGGAUAACAGUUGGAAACGACUGUUAAUACCGCAUAAGACCACAGCACCGCAUGGUGCGGGGGUAAAAACUCAGGUGGUAUGAGAUGGACCCGCGUUCGAUUAGCCAGUUGGCGGGGUAACGGCCCACCAACGCGACGAUCGAUAGCCGAUCUGAGAGGAUGACCGGCCACAUUGGGACUGAGACACGGCCCAAACUCCUACGGGAGGCAGCAGUGGGGAAUAUUGCACAAUGGGGGAAACCCUGAUGCAGCGACGCCGCGUGAGUGAAGAAGGAUUUCGGUAUGUAAAGCUCUAUCAGCAGGGAAGAAAAUGACGGUACCUGAGGAAGAAGCCCCGGCUAACUACGUG